AGUGAACGCUGGCGGUAGGCCUAACACAUGCAAGUCGAACGGCAGCACAGUAAGAGCUUGCUCUUACGGGUGGCGAGUGGCGGACGGGUGAGGAAUACAUCGGAAUCUACUUUUUCGGGGGGGAUAACGUAGGGAAACUUACGCUAAUACCGCAUACGACCUACGGGGGAAAGCAGGGGUUCUUCGGACCUUGCGCGAUUGAAUGAGCCGAUGUCGGAUUAGCUAGUUGGCGGGGUAAAGGCCCACCAAGGCGACGAUCCGUAGCUGGUCUGAGAGGAUGAUCAGCCACACUGGAACUGAGACACGGUCCAGACUCCUACGGGAGGCAGCAGUGGGGAAUAUUGGACAAUGGGCGCAAGCCUGAUCCAGCCAUACCGCGUGGGUGAAGAAGGCCUUCGGGUUGUAAAGCCCUUUUGUUGGGAAAGAAAAACAGCAGGUUAAUACCCCGCUGUUCUGACGGUACCCAAAGAAUAAGCACCGGCUAACUUCGUG
rnacentral:rRNA from 1 species